GCCGCCAUCGUCUAGAGGCCUAGGACGUCGCCCUCUCACGGCGAAAACUCGGGUUCAAAUCCCGAUGGCGGUACCA
rnacentral:tRNA from 1 species